rnacentral:tRNA from 1 species
GAGGGUAUAGCUCAAUGGUAGAGUGCAUGCCUAGCAUGCACAGGGGGCUGGGUUCAAUUCCCAGUAUCUCCA